CUGCUGGGGAACCAGAGGAGGUGCUUUUGGGACCCAUGGGCAUGGUCGCAGCUACUCUAGAAGUGGUGGGAACCAGGACUAUGGGAGUGGCAGGUGUGACAGUUGACCUGGAGGAUAUAGAUAUGGAUAUGGACAGUCCAGCUACUAUAAUGUCAGAAACCAGGGUAGUUAUGAAUGCUACUCAGAAGGAAUUACAGAGGCAGUUAUGACAACUGAAAUGAUACAUGUGCACAUAAUAUACACAAGGAAUAGCUCUUCUGAUCCAGGAUCAUCCUUCCAAAAGGCUGUAUUUAUAAAGGUUUUUCGAGCUGCAUGGAAACAUUUUAUUUUAUAGUAUAUCAACCUCUUGUUUUUAAAUUGAGCUCCCAAGGUAGCUAGUUAAAGACCUUUUAGACAGCUCCAUCUUUGUUUAAAUUUUUUCCUCCCAUUUGAAGCCAAAUUAUAAAACAUUUGCAGGGUCUGAGUAUUUUUCUUUUUACCAGUUUUUUAGUUUGAGCUCUCUGGAUUAUUGGAUCUAGCAAUAACUGGUCCUGGCAUUUGACCAGACUGGUUUUUGAAAAUUAAUGUGUAUCCAGGGACAUUUUAAAAACCUGUACACAGUAUUUAUUGUGGUUAGGAAGCAAUUUCCAAAUGUACCUAUAAGAAAUCUGCAUCAAGAACAUGAUUAUUUAGGGAUUUUCUUUAAUUCAGAUCACCAAACUGACUAUAUAGAAGAGUUGCUUUAAAAUGUUUGCAAAUUUUUUUUUUUUAAUACCAGAAGAAAAAAAUGUUGUUUGUCUUAUAUACUGCUUAGGAUGUCCUUCACAGAGCUUAUUAAAAAGAUGAAACUGGAAAAAAAAAAGGAAAAUUAGAUGUUUCUUUUUGAGAAUCUGAGAGUUAAAUUUGUCUUAAUGUUUUAGGAUGUAGCCCAGAGGUGAGUCUGAAGAAAUAGAUGGGGUUUGUCCCAUGUUGGGACUAGAAAAUGAUGAGCUGCUGGGGGGUAAUGUCUGCUGGGAACAUGAACCACACUUUCUUUAGGGGCAUCCUGCUGAGGAAAAGGGUUCUGCUCACAUCACAAAGGGAUACAAGUGCACUUUCUAAAGGGGCGUUCCACCCCCAUUAGAAUGGACCUUUCAGUGCUGGCGCCUUAAGUUGGGUGAUCAGCCCAGGUAUGAGGAAAAAGGGUAAAGAGAGAGACAGAGUGCUGCCAGCCCUGGAGAAGGGACAGGAAUGGGGACACUCACUGCUCUGAGGCCGCUUGAGAUCACCUGAUUUGGGAGCAUCCAGAGCAGGAUGUCUGGCUGUCUUCAUGGGAGAAUUUAGAGUGAGAAAGAGGGCGUCUGAGUUCCCCCAAACCUGUGUGCCAGUUGUGCCACACAAAGGGAUUGGGGACUUUUAACCAGAAAGGAUAGGAGAGGGUCUUCCUCCCUUCUGGGCAAGGCAGCCAAAGUUGUUCACCCUCUGGCCUUCAGGCUACACCAAGGUGUGGGCCUGGCCAGUUGUGAUCAGUUGCCAGAGGGAUGCUGGAGUUCGUCUGCUGGAAGACAGGAAAGGAAAGCAAACUCUGAACUCUCACCUAAUCAGGCAGUGGUGGUCAGACAUCUUUUCACAGGGACCUUCUGGUCUGCUGAGGAGUGGCCCCGGCUGGGGACCUUCAGCUGUCUCUGUGCUUGGAUGCUGUCACCAAGAGGUUGGAGUUGGAGGACAGGAAAGGGAGAGAGUAGAGGAAGAGGUCCCCGAACAGUCCCUGUACGGGCCACCAAAACAUCACAGAUGUGACUAUCUGGGGCCGGGCUGGUGUUGCAGGUGGUAAAGGAAUUUACCAAGAUAGUUGUAGGUAAAGAAAGGCAGAUUUAUUAGAGAAAAUAUGAAAAUACAUUGCAAGAUUGCAACAGGCAGCACAGCAGAGAAGGGGCUGCCUGCAAAAAGGCAAGGGCUGGAGGGACGUUUUAUAGGGUUGUGCUAGAGGGGGCUGCAUGCAGAGGUCAUCUCUCAGAACAGUUGUUCAUUGUUCUCCACCUGGGGCCCUUCCCCACCUGAGGCCCCUUCUUUAUUGUCGCUUACUUAUCAGGACUCCACAACAUUCUCAUAUUCUUGAGGCAAGAUUCUGUCCAUGAAGAGAGGAAGGGAUAAAGAAAAUGCAAUAUAUAUACACAAUGGAAUGCUCUUCAGCCUUAAAAAUUCAUGAAAUCAUGUCAUUACAGCAACAUGUAUGGAUGAGCCAAGGCUGGAGGCCAAGAUCAGCCCUCAGGGAUCAUCAUCAGGACUGCCAUGAGCUGAGCCACCUUGUUUUCCUGCCGCAAACAUGUGAAAAGAAAGAAAAAAGAAAUAAUAAUAGUAAUAAUAAUAAAGCAGUUUUCCUUCUGGC